AUAAUUAAUAAAUAAUAAUAGUUUUUGUUUACAUUCACAAAUCCAAUAUCUACUACCACCGUUUGCAAGAAUGUUAUCAACCCAAGCUGGGGUUAGUUUGUUUAUUUUUCAUUCGUUUUUGGAGUAAUGUUUUGACUCCUUGGCUCUGAAAUUAAGCCACAAAAAAAAAAAAGCUACCAUUCCAUAAAGAAACCUACUCCACAAUUCCACGGCUCGCAAUACUCCCACAAACACUGGGGCUCUCCUCCUACUGUGCUCUUGCUGCAGUGCAGACUGCUGCCACCUGCCCUCAAAGAAGAAAUAUUACAGUUCACGUUUGGAAGACAUCUCACCACACUAUGGAUUUAAUCCUGGUUAAGUAUGUUGCCUGUGGCACCCUUAAACACGUGAGUGGCUUAUCAAUUUUCCCCUACUCACCUUCCAUCAUUCCAUUAAUUAUUUCUUCUAAUUUAUAUCCCUCUCUCUUUUUUUGCAGUUGCAAUUUACUGACGUCAUGUCUCACAUGCAUGCCUAACAUUGGACCUGGAUGUGGAUGAGGAGGAAGCAAAUAGAAAAACACAUGAGGUUUUUUCAGCACUUCAUAGUUUUUUGACAUCGAAAUAAUUUCUUCUAUGCCAUUGUCAGUGUAUCACCUCCACACUUCCCAGAGCUACAAAUCUAAACUCAUGCUCUAUCUUGGCCCUGGUAUUUUGAUUCCAUUCUGACCACCAGGGAUCUGAAUGCUGCUCAGCUCCAUGCAAGAUCAUGCACUUACCCUGAGGAGGAGCAAUGGUCCUGCCAGAAGCCGAUGCUGGAGGGUCUUGAAUGCAGCUUUCUGUUAAAGACGGAAGAAAGAGUGAAGAGUCAAGCUCUAUGAUUUUGACCCCUGCUGCUGAAUCCAGGGACAUCCUCUGCCAGAAGGACAUCUCUUAGCUCCGCCUCCCACUCUCGCAACUU